rnacentral:rRNA from 1 species
UAAUACAGAGGGUGCAAGCGUUAAUCGGAAUUACUGGGCGUAAAGGGUGCGUAGGUGGUCAGUUAAGUCAGGUGUGAAAACCCUAGGCUCAACCUAGGAAUGGCAUUUGAUACUGAUUGGCUAGAGUACGGGAGAGGAAAGUGGAAUUUCCGGUGUAGCGGUGAAAUGCGUAGAUAUCGGAAGGAACACCAGUGGCGAAGGCGACUUUCUAGUCCGUUACUGACACUGAGGCACGAAAGCGUGGGGAGCGAACAGGAUUAGAUACCCUGGUAGUCCACGCCGUAAACGAUGAAAACUAGAUGUUAGGGUGCAAAGACACUUUAGUAUCGUAGCUAACGCGUUAAGUUUUCCGCCUGGGGAGUACGGCCGCAAGGUUA